CGUGCGAACGAGCGAGCGAGCGAGCGAAGCCUCCAGGUCCCUUCGCCGUUGCCCUCGCACAUCAAGUCGCCGCCCUCGCCCUCGCCCUCGCAGCCGCCGCCGAUCCCCUCCCCCAUCUUCCUCCCUCAAAAGCUAACCCGUCUCGCGGUGCGCCACCGCCCGUCGCUGCCGCCCCCGCCACCUCCCGUCGCGGGUAGGCGGGAGGAGCCCUGCCCGGCCAUGGAGACACUGCCGGCGGCCUCCUCCUCCCCCUCACCUUCUCUCCCUUUCCCAAUGGAGGGAAGGGAAUGGAAGGGAUCCGGCGGCAAGGGGGGGCAGCGCCCAGAUCCGCGGCCGCACCGGCGGGCCGCCGUCCCUCGAGAUCGUGCAUGGAGGUCCGACCCGGCUGCAGCCAUGGACUGAGACGCCCGAAACCCUAGCUACCCGUGGAGGUCCGACGCCUACCUCCAAGGAAAGGACGCGCGCCAGCUGCAGGCCAUCUCCGGCGACCUCCGACCAUGGUUGCUCGGAUCUGGACCAGCUGCUGCUCCUACUGCUUCAGGUGGACGAGGACGAGCCCUCCCUCAUGGAUGUUGCGGCUGCCUACUCCCUCCUCCUACCCCCUGGCCUGGUGUGAACGGUCGUUGAAGCGAAAUUCAUGUUCAUAGAUCAGGGAAUGAAUUUGAUGUGUGACGCCUGACAAAAGCCCAAGAUUACAGAUUCUUUGUGUCGACGUGGAAUGUUGGUGGCCAAUGCCCAUCAAGGGGGUUAAUUUAGAUGACUGACUCCAUUCUUCACCCCCUGCUGAUAUCUAUGUGCUCGGAUAUCACUUAUUACGAGGACACUAAACAAGAACGCUGGGUCUAGCAUUCAUGCUGGCUAUCACAUGCCAUUCCCUGUCCCUGAUCCGGUUGUGGAACUAGAUGCUGAUUUUAAGGUAUCAUUGAGAAGACAUGAUAGCUCAUCACUUUCCACCACUAUCAUUCCGAAACCUUAGUCGGAGUUUAAGGGUUUCAGGAAAUGAUAUGUUCUCACAACCAAUAUUGGCCCGUAGGUUUAGUGUGUGCGACCCUGUUAACAUAGGAGUCAGGCCGAGCGAUUUUGAUAGAAAUUUCAAGUGUAUCGGAUCACCAGUCGAUGAGUAUAUUGAGGAGGAUACAAGUAAUGGAGCAUAUUUUUCACCAUUCCCAUAUGGCUAUGGUACUUAAACACCAAUGGAAGGAGAUGAAGAGCAGCCAAAUACUUCUAGGUGUCCAGGUAUUGUUUGGUUGCCAGCAAACAGAUGGUUGGCAGAUUUCUCACAGUUUGGGUAACAGGUAUGGCAUGGGAUUCAUUGUUCUGGUUAGAUGAGAUAUAUCAUCUGGUAAAUCAUUGGAUACAUUUCAACGUAUUGGAUUAUUUUGUUCUGAACUCUUUAGUCAGGUACCUUCCUUCUCUCAACACAACUUCAGCAACAUGUUUUAUAUAUUACAACUUCCAAGUUAAUAGUAGAGAUUUAAUCUCAAUACUUGCUUGCUUGGUGUAAGAAUGUAGAAGUAUGUUUUACUUUGGCUCCUAGCUGAAGACUACGGUUGGGUGUUCCAAUAACUUAUUUUUGGCAUGGUCUUCUUUGCUACCUCUGCAUGUGCGAUCCUCAUUAUUUGUUGCUUGAUUCUCUAUGCAAGAAUCUUGGCUCAUGGUCGAACAUAUAUGGUCACAUAUUUGCUCCAGGGAUUUAUUUUUGUCAGAGCCGAUCGACAAAUGAUCAGCCUGAAAGUAUAAUUUUCUAGCUUAAUACAUGUCAUGCAAGUAUGGUUUCCUUAAUGUGACUGGUAAUGUAAAUUUUGUGGGUCUCUCAGUUCCUAUGAGCCUAAUAUAGUUAAUUCGAAAUCAUGAUUCUGAUGGAAAUGCAAAAGAAACAGAACCUGAAUUAGUAGUUAAUUGGAUAGCAUGAUUCCGAUGGAAAUGCAAAAGAAACAGAACCAACAAUAGUAGUCUACCUUAAAGCUCGAAGAAUUCAUGAGAAAUUCUUGCUAGCAUCUAGAAUUGGAUGCCCUCAGGAAGACUAUUGUAAGUCAAUUUUCAUGACUGAUUUGCUCAUUUCCUCUAGCUGCACAAUAUGACAUAUUGCUUCUUAAUUCAACACUUACUGCUACUUAGUAAUAAGAGGACAUGUGGGACUUUGUUUCUCGAAUUGACACUCAAUAGUAGAAGAUGUUCAUACCUAGAAUAGUUGAUCACAAACUGCCGUAUCAUGGCUUUCUAGCUUAUAUGUUACAGAGCAAGUGAGCAGCCUCUACUCCCCCCCCCUCUAAUUAAUCUCUAUUUUGUAGCUUUGAAUAGCUAAAAAAAGUUGAUUCUGGUAUAUAUUCAUUGGCGCAAACAUUAGAAGUUCUAUGAUAUUUUUUCUUACCACAUAUAUAUGAAGGAUUGUGCAGACAACUUGCAGCGUUGGAAUCAACAUCUGGGAACAAUGCAUGGACAUUUAGAUAUAUAUUUUUAGCAUUCUUCAAGAUCUUGACUUAAUUUCUUUUUACACUGUUAAAUAAUAAAAGUAACAAAAUGUUGUACAAUAGUAGUAUCUGUUAUGUAGUCAAGUUUACUGAAAUCAAAAGAAAACCAAGAAAGGAGAGCCGAAGUUCAAGGCAUGUUCAGCUCCAUUGAUUUCCUCUCUCAAUGGAGUGUUAGUCCUCUGAAUAUUUUUAUUCCUCUGAUCUCAAACAUUGUCUACACAAGAGUCGAAGCUUUGUCUGCCACUGCUCUUCAGUUCACACCGCCGAUGUUGUGAGGACUGGCAGCUCUUCAGUUCAUGCUGCCAAUGUUGUGAGGACUGGCAGGACUUCAAUGGGCGCGGAGGCUGCAACCUAGGGCGAGGGCGUCGGUGCGUUGAGAUGGUGGGGCCACGUCAGUGGGAGGACGUGAGGCGGCGAUGUCCACCCAGAUCUAUAGCCGCAACAGAAGAACAACUCAGAGAGGACGUGCAGCUCCUGUGUGUAGUAGAUAAAUCGCCGCCCAGAUAAAUCACCGGGACACUACCAAGUGUGUCGUCAGUAGGAUAAAAAAUCUUGAGCGUGCCUCAGGUGCGACUCUAGCUAUUGAAAAUCAAAGAACCUGAAUACUUCCGGAGUUUGAUAAGGCUUUACGGUGAGUUCUCAUAGUGGUCUAUGUGCACGAUGGGAUGCUGGUACUGCUGUUCUACUUUUACUGCUGUUGUUAUUAAGCAGAUUUUGUCAAAGCAAUUGCUAUGUGUAUUAAUUUGGAUAGGAUCAGUUAAAGUACAUCUCAUUAAACGGCGUUUUUUGUCGUGUGUUUUAACUUUUUAUUAUUAGUAGCAGUGGUUUCUAUAGCUAGCCCAAUGAUGAUCCCCACUUUAACCGACAUGAUGUCAAAGCUCAAGGCUAUCAGUGACCAUCCAUAUAGCUCAUCAAGUCAUCUUCAGAUCACUAGCCCUAAUGGUGUCAAGCUCAAGGAUAUCUAGGAGCACUCGAACCUCCUGCAUGACGAAGUCACUCGAUGAGGAUGUGCUUACCCAGGAGAAUGAACCUAUUGAUGCUCCCCUUGCAGCCGGAAGUAUCUUGAAAGCUGCGAAAACCUCAUACAUGAGCAUAUCCGCGAUGCAAGGAGCUUUUGUGAUGACUCGGAGGAGGUAGCAGGGGGAGGAAAAGAAGGGAUAGGUUCCAUUACGAUCUUCUGUUGACACAAUGGUCGUCGGUGGCGACUGGCGAGAACAUGAGGACCAUGGCGAGUGGCUUUGUACCAGGACUGUUUCAUGCAUUUGAUUUUGAGGUUACAAUUAACAGACAUGUAUUGACCUAUUGCGGCUAUAGAGUAUGCCUAAGCCAAUGGCCAGACAUCGGCUGUUCGGAUCCACCCUUAAGCCGAGGCACAAGUCCAUUGCGGUUGAUUAUUGUUUGGGGAUUCAGUUUCAUGGUUGCAACCAGAUCAAUGACCGGUUAAUCUAACACCCGGUUUUAAAGAGAGAACAAAGUAGGAAGGGUGUGUGAUGGCGCUGGGGCCAUGUGUUGGAUAUAACAUGUUGGAUAGUCUGGACAACCAAAUUUCUCCCCUAUAUAUGUGCUGGAUUUGGGGGAGCUCUAACUGUUCAAACAGUUGGAAUUUUCAAGAGCCCACUGAGAGCCUAUUUGAUGUCCGAACAUGCCCGGGCGUACGAGGGAGAAAUGAGCGCCGACCUUGGGGACAAUCUUAAUCAUUUGUUUGAUUCAUGUAUAUGCAUUGUAGCCCGUAGCAACGCACGGGCAUUCUACUAGGUGAGUUGAGGCAGACAGCAAGGGCCGAGGUUGACAAAUAAAAUGCCAUUGUGAUGGUAAGCAAAAUAUCAGGUUCUAAUUAGUGGAGGACUACAAAAGUUAAAGAGGUCUUGAUGAGAUGAUUGACAUGACAUGAAUAGUUAAUUUGACAUGUAUCAUGGGCACUUCUUCAUUAUUCAGUUGUCUCGCUUGAAUUUGUGGACCAACUGGUGGACAUAGUUCAGUUUUCACAGGUAGCAAAAGCUGCAAAACUGGGUGUGCUAGAUUUUGUUCAAAGUGCAACUUUUAUUUGAUAAAGCCGAUCAGGUUUACAUGUGUAGAUCAAUGCAGUACCAACUGUAAAAGAGUUACAACGCAAGGGGAAGAGUCUCCUUUUUUGUAUUACACUGGGAUUGAACCUGCAUGUUGCUGGGGCAACCCUCUUUUAUUUUGGUCUUUAACUCUA